UACGGGGGGGGCAAGCGUUGUUCGGAAUUACUGGGCGUAAAGGGCUCGUAGGCGGCCAACUAAGUCAGACGUGAAAUCCCUCGGCUUAACCGGGGGAACUGCGUCUGAUACUGGAUGGCUUGAGAUUGGGAGAGGGAUGCGGAAUUCCAGGUGUAGCGGUGAAAUGCGUAGAUAUCUGGAGGAACACCGGUGGCGAAGGCGGCAUCCUGGACCAAUACUGACGCUGAGGAGCGAAAGCCAGGGGAGCAAACGGG
rnacentral:rRNA from 1 species